rnacentral:tRNA from 1 species
UCGGGGAUCGUCUAAUGGCAGGACAUCUGACUCUGACUCAGAGAAUCUAGGUUCGAGUCCUAGUCCCCGAG